GAUGAACGCUGGCGGCGUGCCUAAUACAUGCAAGUCGAGCGAACAGACGAGGAGCUUGCUCCUCUGACGUUAGCGGCGGACGGGUGAGUAACACGUGGAUAACCUACCUAUAAGACUGGGAUAACUUCGGGAAACCGGAGCUAAUACCGGAUAAUAUAUUGAACCCCAUGGUUCAAUAGUGAAAGACGGUUUUGCUGUCACUUAUAGAUGGAUCCGCGCCGCAUUAGCUAGUUGGUAAGGUAACGGCUUACCAAGGCAACGAUGCGUAGCCGACCUGAGAGGGUGAUCGGCCACACUGGAACUGAGACACGGUCCAGACUCCUACGGGAGGCAGCAGUAGGGAAUCUUCCGCAAUGGGCGAAAGCUUGACGGAGCAACGCCGCGUGAGUGAUGAAGGUCUUCGGAUCGUAAAACUCUGUUAUUAGGGAAGAACAAAUGUGUAAGUAACUAUGCACGUCUUGACGGUACCUAAUCAGAAAGCCACGGCUAACUACGUG
rnacentral:rRNA from 1 species